AAGGGCACACGGAGGAUGCCUAGGCAACAGCAGCCGAUGAAGGACGUGAUAAGCUGCGAUAAGCCGGGAGGAGAUGCACAUAAUCGUUAAUCCCCGGAUUUCCGAAUGGGAAACCUGCAUGCCUGGAGGGCAUGCGUGAAAACGGUAA
rnacentral:rRNA from 1 species